rnacentral:rRNA from 1 species
GAUGAACGCUGGCGGCGUGCCUAAUACAUGCAAGUCGAGCGAACAGACGAGGAGCUUGCUCCUCUGACGUUAGCGGCGGACGGGUGAGUAACACGUGGAUAACCUACCUAUAAUACUGGGAUAACUUCGGGAAACCGGAGCUAAUACCGGAUAAUAUAUUGAACCGCAUGGUUCAAUAGUGAAAGACGGUUUUGCUGUCACUUAUAGAUGGAUCCGCGCCGCCUUAGCUAGUUGGUAAGGUAACGGCUUACCAAGGCAACGAUGCGUAGCCGACCUGAGAGGGUGAGCGGCCACACUGGAACUGAGACACGGUCCAGACUCCUACGGGAGGCAGCAGUAGGGAAUCUUCCGCAAUGGGCGAAAGCUUGACGGAGCAACGCCGCGUGAGUGAUGAAGGUCUUCGGAUCGUAAAACUCUGUUAUUAGGGAAGAACAAAUGUGUAAGUAACUAUGCACGUCUUGACGGUACCUAAUCAGAAAGCCACGGCUAACUACGU